CUUCUGGGGUGAACAUGGACCCACUGUCAUCGGGCAAGGUCUAGGAUGGACAUGGAGACCCACCAUCUGGGAGAUUCCAGAGUGGACGUGAACCCACCCACCAUCAUCAGUGUCCCUUGGGAAGGAGAGAACCCAGCAGCAUUCAUUACCACCCGAUGCUUGCUAAUGGUGUGACCUUGAAUGAGUCAGCCUGUCACCUGUCUGUGCCUCCGUUUGUCUGUCUGAGAGUGUUAAUGGCUGCUUAUAAGGUGCACACGGGACGAAUGAUGCUGAAUGAAUGGCAGUUGGACAUGUUUUCUUUGUUGAACCCUCUUUGAGGCCUCUCAGAAGCCAGAGAGAAUAGAGGACAGUCCAGAAACCUUGU
rnacentral:lncRNA from 1 species